GGAAUCCUGGCAGUUGGCAGGCAAACGGUAGACACUAUCAGGACAGAAGUGCCAGCUUAAGUGAUGCUCUCGAAAAGGAGAGAAAGCCGGGUGGUGGUGGCGCACGCCUUUGAUCCCAGCACUCGGGAGGCAGAAGCAGGUGGAUCUCUGUGAGUUCGAGGCCAGCCUGGACUACAGACAAGGGAUUGAAACACAAUUCCUGUAGGCUCCCGCUGACUCAAGGGCUCUGAGCUUACCACAGGAGCUGAUAUGAUUAAACAAGAAAUUUGCACAAAAGCACUCUGCAAACUACGGCAUGCUGUUUGACUGACUGUUGGCACCAGCAUGUCCCAGAAGCAUGCCUACAGGCCAUUGAGUCCCAAGAAAGCCCUCUGCCCUGUGGGGAACAGAGACAGAAAGUGCGGACUGUGGCUAGAACGAGGCAGAUGCAGGGAUCAGGUUAAAGCCAGGCCCCAAACCAUGAAGCAUCUUUGACUUCUGUCACGCCCCGUAGCCAAUCCAUCAGAAACCCUUGGCCUCAACGUCUGAAGCAAAUGGAGAGUUCAGCCCAACAUCCUUUCCACAGCCACCCGCCCUAACCAUCAGCUCCUCUGGAGUAUGCACCAGCUUUCGACCAGACCCCUGGCUCAACCCGGUCAGUUCUCACAGGGCAGCGCGAGUAAUCCUGGACCAAGUUCUCGAGCAACCUUCCCUAUCACUUGAAGAAAAAGAAAACAAGGCUUUCCUCACCUCCUUUUCUGCGAGCCAAGACAUCAUGCCAGCCCUCUAACUCCAAACCCUCUGCCAUCUUUGACCUUUCAACAUGCCUCCCAUCAAUCCCUCAGCUCUGACUUUUCUUCGGUUGAUGGAGACCACCGGAGGGAAAAUGAAUCACAGUCCCAGAGCCUUGGAAGGGCACACAGUGCAAUCGGCUGCAGCCCUCUCCUCACUUGAAAUGCCUCUGAGGAUUUCUCACCUGCAUCAGUGACUUCAACCCAAUGCUGUUUUCACCGGCCCGCCGGCGGCGGCGGAGCGGGCCCUCUCUACUUGGGCAGCUCCCGAUGUGCCUUCAACAGGACAGCCCCUCUCCUGGACCCUGCUUCCUCUCCCCACUCGACCAGAUAGAGCGCCGUCCGUCCAUUAAGCUAAGUGGGAAGCCAGAGGUUCCUCUUCUCCUCCUUCACUUUCCCAGCCUCCUCCGCGUCUGGUGCCACUGCAUCUGACUCCCCAGUAUUUUCUGAACUCUUCUCCUUCACAUCCUCGUGGCAGCCGCUGCUGCAGGAACCUCAAAGACAAUAUCCUUGGCUCCUUUUCUGCCCCCAUCCUAGUCUACUGCCUUUGUCCUAACGCACUCUGUACUCACUUCCCCGCCUAACAGGCUCCCUGAGCUUCACCUGACCCCCAGACGGGACACGGCAUGACCCUCUGGACUCUGGC